GGUAAAAAGCCCAGAAAAGACCGCCAGGGGCGCCUGGAAAUGGUGUCCCUCGUCUUCAAGGCCCAGACGGAGCUUAGCUUCCUCUUGAAGGAGCCACAUCUGUAUUUCUGGUGAACGUCGUGUUUGACAUCAAAGGAAUGUUUAGAGACAUGAUUUCAGGCUUCCUUACGCAGAGAAUGCUCAUCAAAAAAUAAAAUGGACACACCAUACACUAACGUCACUCAGAUUUCUAUAGCUGGAAGUUAACAAAUAUUGUUUUCAAAUGCGUGUAACCUGAUGCUCCAGAGUUAGUUUGGCGAGCCUCAGCAUUUUCUGUCAGGCACAAGAAAGAAAAGACUCCAGACACCACCACGAUGUGGAACAUGGAGUGGGGAUGUUUGGUGGCCUUGAAUGCCUAUUCAAUAUUGUUAUGCAGGCUGGAUGUGAUGGCUCAUGCCUGUAAUCCCAGAACUUUGGAAGGCCUAGGCAGGUAGAUGGCUUGAGCUCAGGAGUUCAAGACUAGCCUGGGCAACACGG
rnacentral:lncRNA from 1 species